rnacentral:rRNA from 1 species
GUAGGUGGCAAGCGUUGUCCGGAAUUAUUGGGCGUAAAGCGCGCGCAGGCGGUCCUUUAAGUCUGAUGUGAAAGCCCACGGCUCAACCGUGGAGGGUCAUUGGAAACUGGGGGACUUGAGUACAGAAGAGGAAAGCGGAAUUCCAAGUGUAGCGGUGAAAUGCGUAGAGAUUUGGAGGAACACCAGUGGCGAAGGCGGCUUUCUGGUCUGUAACUGACGCUGAGGCGCGAAAGCGUGGGGAGCAAACAGGGAUUAGAUACCCUGGUAGUCCACGCCGUAAACGAUGAGUGCUAAGUGUUAGGGGGGUUUCCGCCCCCUUAGUGCUGCAGCUAACGCAUUAAGCACUCCGCCUGGGGAUCGGCCGCAAGGCUG